CCUAGCUAUCACCUGAGCUGGAACAAGAGGUGUACCAGGGGAAAGAAUUGUGCCCAGGCCUGGAAGGUGUCCAGUCUGAGAGAAACUUACUGAAGCAUCUCUGAGGGUAAGACAACCUUGGUCAGACCCAUGGUCCAUCAACUCCGGUAUCCUGUUUCUGAUAAUAGCCAGAACCAGAUGCUUCAGAGAAAGUACUGCACAGCACCAGUACAGCGAGAUGAGAUGGCCCACCCAGCUCUGCCCAGCCUGAGGAGCAGUGAAGGAGAGGAACCUGACCAGACCAACCAGAUGAUUUCCCUGACCUGGGAAGUGAGAUGGGGUCUAGAGCAACAACUGUCACAGCCGACCUGCCAGACCAAAGCAUCUGUCCUUGACUGACGAGCCUCCCUGUAUCCUGAGAAUGUUA